rnacentral:rRNA from 1 species
AACGAACGCUGGCGGCAUGCCUAACACAUGCAAGUCGAACGAGACCUUCGGGUCUAGUGGCGCACGGGUGCGUAACGCGUGGGAACCUGCCCUUAGGUUCGGAAUAACUCCCCGAAAGGGGUGCUAAUACCGGAUAAUGUCUUCCGACCAAAGAUUUAUCGCCUUUGGAUGGGCCCGCGUUGGAUUAGCUAGUUGGUAGGGUAAAAGCCUACCAAGGCGACGAUCCAUAGCUGGUCUGAGAGGAUGAUCAGCCACACUGGGACUGAGACACGGCCCAGACUCCUACGGGAGGCAGCAGUGGGGAAUAUUGGACAAUGGGGGAAAGCCUGAUCCAGCAAUGCCGCGUGAGUGAUGAAGGCCUUAGGGUUGUAAAGCUCUUUUACCCGGGAUGAUAAUGACAGUACCGGGAGAAUAAGCUCCGGCUAACUCCGUG